UGGGGAAUAUUGGACAAUGGGCGAAAGCCUGAUCCAGCAAUGCCGCGUGGGUGAAGAAGGUCUUCGGAUUGUAAAGCCCUUUCGGCGGGGACGAUGAUGACGGUACCCGCAGAAGAAGCCCCGGCUAACUUCGUGCCAGCAGCCGCGGUAAUACGAAGGGGGCUAGCGUUGCUCGGAUUGACUGGGCGUAAAGGGCGCGUAGGCGGUUUGCACAGUUGGGCGUGAAAUUCCUGGGCUUAACCUGGGGGCUGCGUUCAAUACGUGUAGGCUUGAGUUCGGAAGAGGGUCGUGGAAUUCCCAGUGUAGAGGUGAAAUUCGUAGAUAUUGGGAAGAACACCGGUGGCGAAGGCGGCGACCUGGUCCGAUACUGACGCUGAGGCGCGAAAGCGUGGGGAGCAAACA
rnacentral:rRNA from 1 species